rnacentral:lncRNA from 1 species
GUCUCUGUUAAUGUCCUUCCUGGUGUUAGACAUUUGUUUAAUGAUCAAUAGUGGUUUCUAUUCCUACAGCUGUGUUUUUCAGAGAGUAGCAUAACCAAGUCAAUGUUUAACUGGAUUCUUUGACUCUGGAAUGGCAAUGCAGGAGGUAAAGGGAAGUCUCCAUGGAAACCAACCUUCUGGGAAGUAGCCAGGGGGUUAGUAUGUGGUGAAACAGAGCAAGAGAGAUGUUGUGAGGGAAACCACUACUUUCUAAAGCUGGGGUCAGCUUCCAAAAUAUCUUUUUUUUUUUUUUUGGUACUAGGGAUUGAACUCAGGGGCACUUAACCACUGAGCCAUAUCCCCAGCCCUUUUUUUGUAUUUUACUUAGAGACAGAGACUCACCAAGUGGCUUAGGGUCUCCCAAACUGCUGGGAUUCUGAAAUAUCUUAAUUAAAACAAACUACGUUAAAGACCCCCAAACUACCUCCAGCAUGGUUUUCCUUUGAAUCUCUUUCAUGGGAAAUGGGCCGGAGUCACUCUAAGGCUCACUCUCGGGUCACCAAAGUAGCCCCUCUGGAAAACAAAGGAGCAGACACUCCUUCAGCUGGCCCUAUGGAUUUUGCAUUUAAUCAGAACCUAGAAGAAAAGAGCUCAUAUUCGUUGACAAGACUACAGGACCGGAAUGAAAUUCUGAAUGGCCAGCUGCCACCUCUUCGAGAAACCUGGUAUGGAAGAUAUUCUACAGGUAAAUGCAAAACUCAGCAUGGGAUUUAUGUAUCGGGACCUAAUAGAGCUGUCAAUAGAUUGACCAAAAAAAAAAAAAAAAUAGAUUGACCCAUCUCCGUGAUCUCAGCAAGUCUCUAAUUUAUUGAGAUGUAAGGAAAUAUGUGGGGAUUGAACAUUUGUCAGUUGAAGUAGGAAUUGAAUGUCUGUCAAUCAAAGGUAUUCUGGCACCUUAGAAUGGGAGUGUAAACUGUGUACAAAGGCAUUUUUAACAUUCCAAAUGAGAAGGAAAAUCAUUUUGUUUCAGCUUAGUUUAUAGUGCUUUCCAUGUUUGUACUGAGCUUUGCCAGAUCAUUAAAAUUAUAAAGGCACUGAUGUAAUGAAUGAUAACAAUCAUGUAUUUCAGUUAGAUUCUAAAUUUAAAUCAUCAUCUCCAAUACAGUUUAAUGCAUCAGGCUUUGUGGUUUUGAAAGCAGCACUUUAGGAGUGAAUCUUCUCUAAUGUGACUUUUGAAAACACCCCAAACAAAAUUGAUUUAUUGUAGAACAGAUGAGUGGAUGAGUCACCCCUUCUCUUCAUGGUCAUCUUCAGGGGAAAUAAUUUUUUCCAUUUGAUUGGAAGCUCUCAGCCUGAAGUGGCUAUAAAUUAUUCUGUGAUAUUUUAUAAGACAUGUAAAAUAUGUUGUGAUGAUCAUCGAGAUAAUGAAACAGAUAUUCUAACUUGGGAAGAGAAAUAUGUUUGUAAAGUAUAUGCAAGUAUAUAUGUAUGGAAUUUUCUCUUUUCUUCUCAUCCUGGAUCAGACACACAAGUAAGCUCCCCUUACUGGAAGUCUUGAUCAGAAUGCCUGCAUUCUCUUUUGAAACCUAGCAGAACUUGCCCACAAUGAUUUGCAUGAGUGUCUUCUGUAGAAUUGACAAUGUUAAGUAGUUCUAUACAGCCUAUUUUAUUUGUUCUCCAACUUCUUUAAUAUCUGAAUGGGAAUUUUCCCCUUAGUUGAACUGAAAGAUUCUUUUUUUUUUUUUUUUAUCCAAACUCUUUAUCCAGAGUUUUAAGAUUUUUGUUAACUGGAUAGUGAAAGCUGAUUUUAGUGCUUUAGAGUUCCAACUGGAAAUUUUUAUUUUUGAGAAGACAAAAUCUCAUUGAAUAUAAAUAACAAGGCAUUAGUGAGCAUGCUGCAGGCUAAUCCCAGUUCCACCAAAUACCAAACCAGACCAUCUUGAACGAAUCACUUCAUCAAUUUUCUUCACCUAUAAUCAGGGGUGAAAACAACAUGCCAUAUUGGGAAAAAUCUAACUAAAUAAUGGGGUUAUAUCUUUCAAAUCACAGUAUAAAAAUAAGAAGUAGUCAGACUUCUGAAAAAAUUUUGCCAAAAAUAUUUACACUUUUAAAUCCAAUGUUUUGUUGUUGUUUCUGUACUCUCGAUGUGGUAUCAUCAUUGAAAGAAAAUACAUCAUUUUCAAACUACUAAAAGUUAGAGCAAAGUCAUUAAAGUGGUCAUUAAAAGUCUUAAGGAUGGAGAUGCAUAAUACUCCUGGAAUUUUCCAUUUCAAAUGUGAAGUGAGAGUAUAGGAUGGUCUAUUUAACAAUCUAGAAAUCAGAUGCAUCCAUAUUGCCAAGGGAAAGGACAAGGAUUUCACUCGUGCUGUUUGGUCUUGGCAACAGUACAAGAGCCCAGGAUUAUAAAAUUCACAAUAGACCUAUUGAGCCUCCCUGUUUCCUAGCAGAGGCUUAACUCUGUAGCCCUGGUUUGUUUUCUCAGGAAAGAAUGUCAAUAUGUUGUAUUACAGUAGCAACUUGGAAUUUCCCUGGUUUGAGAGAAACUAUUUAAUUGUGAUCAUACAAGGCUAAGCAUUGCAUGCUCUUAUUGGAAGCUCGUAUUCUAAUUCUGAGUCACCUUUCUCUGCAUCUAAUCACCUAUUACCUAUUUCGAGUUCCAAAAGAUAGAUAAGAUAGAUUUUUUUCAUUUGUUAAAUAUAUUUUUUUCUGAUUUCUUGUAUUUUGGGGAGGAGAUUCAUGGAACUAAAACAAAUAAGUGAGUUUCUAUGACUUUCCAUUACAUAGGCCAAAUUCUGCGUUUCAGUUGCAUUUGUAGUCCAUGCAUUGUUAAUUUUGCAGAUCUUCCUCUAAAUAUCUAUCAGAGAAGGAAAUGAUGAAAUCAGAAAUUAGACUAAAAUUUUAUCAUUCACAUUCAAGUAGGGACCCUGUUCCAUGUGUUUCAUCUCCACAUUCAAUCUAUGGGUUAAACGUAUAUAACUGAAAAGGUACAAAAUUAUGUUAACAAGUCUAAAAACUAAGGAUCAUCUUUCUAAUUUAAUGGUAAAUUGUUUUAAUGGCUUAUUCUCAUUUCUCCCCCAAUUCUUCAAGCACCCAGGGCCAUGUAUUUUGACAUCCCACUGGAACGGGGAGAAACAAGUAUUAUUAAAAGGCAUCCACCUCGAAGACUUGAAGUAAGAUGAAUUUAAGAGGCUUCAUAAAGAAUUUCUUGGAUUAAAUAGUAAUAUCUCUUUUUACCUAUCUUCAUAAAAGAAGGAUAUUGACUAACUUUAAUAAGAAUAUUUUUAAAGAUAAUUUUGCCAAUUGCAAGGACCAAUCUACUUAGGAUUUCCUUUGUAAUGAUUUCAUUUCCAAAAGGAGCAAGUAUACUAAUAAGUACAUGGGUAGGGGGACUUCGGGGCCUGAAUCUAGCACUGACUCAUUGAGUGUCUCUGGGAAAUUAUAAUAAAUAACAAAAACAAUGACUACCACUACUAUUCAAUUACCACCCUUCUACAAGUCUGAUACUAUUCUAGACAACUUAAUCUAUGGCAUUCAUUUAAUCCGCUAAGCCUCCUAUUAGAAAGGAAGUCUUGCCCUUAUUUUAUACAUGUGGUCAGAGAGCUAAGUAACUUGCCCAAGGACACACAGAGACUGAAUACCAGCCAGAUAUCAAAGUCCUUACUCCUAAUCAUCAGUUCAAAUGAUCUCUACAACUUCUAACUUUAUUUUCCCAGAAAAUAAACUAGUUGUUGAAAUUAGGAACAUUAAAUCUCAACAAAGCAAAAGCAUCAAAUGUAUUCACCUUAAUAAACGUUUAAUAGAUUCCCUUUAGAGGGAUACAAAUUCUAAGAGCGACAAAGUCCAAAAAGUAUCAUCCUAGAAAGGGAAAGAGAUCAGAGUGGGUCCUUGAAAAUGAGCAACAGCUAAAAGGAGGGUUUGGGGCUCUCUCAUGAGCAGGAUCUACCAUUGACAUUUGAGAAACGGGAUUAUAGCCAAAUCCCACCUGCUACAUAAUUCACCCAGAUGCCUGGGCUAUCCCCAGGGGUAUAGAAGCUUAUUUUUGAGAAUUAUUUCUGUUUCAGUUGGUUUUUAUUUGUCUUCUCCAGAAGCUCAAAAUUAUCAUUUGAAAUGAUUAUAGGCUUUCAUUCAAAAAGAGCAUCUUUUCCAAAAUUAUUAGAAAAUAUUCCAAAAUAUUAAAAACCUCAAAAAUAUUGUUUAGCUCAAGAAAAAUAAAGUAUAAAUGUAAUGAAUUAGUAUCUAAUUUCAAAGUUUUUGAGCAUAUCUAUGGAUAAACUGAAUAACUUUAAGACUUGUUUUAUUCCUAAACCAAAGUUUCCUUUCAAUGGAGUGUGUUUAAAAUGUCUCUGUGAAGCUGACUAACUCAAACAGAAGAAAUUAUAGCCAGUGAAAAACAUCUGUGUAGCACUGUAUAGUCCACAAAGUAUUUUUAUUAUCUAUCAAACCUAUGGAAGACAAGGUCAGGUUUGGGUUCUCCCAAUAGUCCAUCAAGCUCAAAAGAGGACUUUGAUAUUUCAGCAUCUAAUACUACACCCCACACACUAACCAACCACCUUAAAAUUAAAGUCAAGAAAAAUAUAUGGGCUCAGUGUUAGAUACUUGUCAUCCUAGCACCUUGGGAGGCUGGCUGAGGCAAAAGGACUGCAAGUUCAAAGCCAGUGUUUUAGUCAGCUUUUUUGCUGCUGUGAUUGAAAGACCUGACCAGAACAGUUGUAGAGGAGGAGAAGUUUAUUUGAGGGCUCACGAUUUCAGAGAUCUCAGUCCAUAGACAGCGACUCUAUUUCUCAGGAUUCAAGUGAGACUGAACAUCAUGGUGGAAGAGUGAGGUGGAAGCAAGCGGCUCACACGAUGUGAGAAAGCAGAGAGGUGUCUCCACUUACCAUAUAUAAAACAUAUGCCUCAAAGCCACGCCCCCAAUGACCCAACUUCUCCAGCCACACCCUAUCUGCCUUCAAUUACCACUCAGUUAAUUCCAUCAGGGAAUUGAUUUACUGAUUGGUUUAAAACUCUCAUAACCCGAUUAUUUCUCCUGUAAACCCUCUUGCAUUGUCUCACACCUGAGCUUUGGGAGAUACCUCACAUCCAAACCAUUACAGCCAGCUUCAGCAACUUAGCAAGGCCAUAAGCAAUUUAGUAAGAUCCUGUCUCAAAAUAAAAAAAAUUUAAAAACUGGGCAUGUAUUUAGUCAUUAAGCGCCCCUGGAUUUAAUCCCUGGCACCAAAGAAAGAAAGAAAGAAGGAAGAGAAAGGAAGGAAGAAUGGAUAGAUUAUGUGAGUACAAAGGCUAUGUCUCAUUUAAUCAUAUAUCUUCAGCCACUAACAUUGUGUGCCACAGAAAAGUCAGUUGGUGAAUGAAUGAACAUCAUGUCGGCUGGGGGAAAAACACUCAAAGUGCACUCCCUGCUACUACAGACCUGGAGCAUCCCUGUAUUAGAAUCUGCCUACCCAGAGCAACCAAUAUGGUUAAUUAUAAAGGUAGAGGAAUGUUUUAUUGAACCUCAGAGCAGGGAGACACCUGUCGGCAACUGAAAGGCAGAACUCUCCAAGUUUCUCCCCCAAGCUCUCUUCUGUCUGUGUGCUUAAUGCCUCUGCAGAUCAUCCUUCUCUGCUCCUCAGGUGCACUUGAUGAAAUAUGGGCACCCUGGGAUUGCAUCUUAUAGUUCCAGUCAAAUGGACAGAUUGACCUGAUCCUCUUGGCUCUGAUUCCAAAUUCCUGGGAGGCAAGAUAUGACUGGCUAAGCUUUGCUCAUGAUUCGAGCUCUGAUCCAGUGAGUUAUAAGCAGAGGACAUGUUCAUGCAGUAGAAAUGUGGGUGGAAGAGUCACCCUCUAGAUUCUGGAAUCAGCUCCCAGAAAGAGGGAAAUCACUAGGAACUUGGCAGACACUCCCAAAGAUAUCAGCUAUAAUUAUCUUCACAAAUGAGGCUCAGCACAUUUUCCACCACAAAUGGGUUUUUGAGAGAAUAAUAAAUGCUGGGUUCCCAUGACAUGCUAAUUAAUAGCCUAAUCUCUGCCCAAAAAAAUUCUAAAAGUAUUUUUAAUUAUUAAACCAAAUAUAAUUGCAUCCUAAAUAAUUUGAGCUGUGUAUUUGGCACUCUCCAUUUCCUGAACAUCUACUCCUCAAGGAUAGAGCAGGUCAUGAACUAAGGUUCCUCAACUGGGAACUGAGCUCUGAGAGCCUCUGCCAGGACAGUGAAUCAAAUGUGCCUGCCCCAUGGAGAAGAGUUGAUCAGCAGCACCCCCUCUGGUCUGAUUAGCUUCUCCUGCAAACGUCUAAAAUCCAGCCUAAGUUGGGAAGUUGCCCCCACAUGUACUACAUCCCCCGAUGAUUUGCUUGGAUAAUUCCCUCACCUCCAAGGAUUUGUUCAAAUGUCACCAUCUUCAGAAGGCCUACCCUCCUGACCAAUUUACUGACAAUAGCAACCCUCCUCCAAUCCUCGUGAUUCCCUCCAUCCUUCACUGUCUUGUCUUUUCCCCAGCACGCCUAUUUCCAUCUAAUACACCAAACACAUUAUUUACCUAUUAUGUUCAUCUUGUAUUUUCUUCACUACUCCCUUAUCUCUCUCAUGCUAGAAUACAACCUUCAUAGAGCCAGGGAUUUUAUUUUUCUGUUGUUACUAAUGUAUCUGAAUAUCUAGAAGGGUGCCUGGCACAUAACACAUGGUCAGUAAGGAUGUUUUGGUUAUUGAAUGAUUGAAUUGGAGACGAAAGAAUGACGAGUGUAAAUCUGCUGGUGAGGAAUAAGAAGGAUGGUUCUGCCUUGGAUGGUUUCAACGUUGUUUUUGGCCUUAGACAAUAUUGAGUCUACUGAACCGAGAACGUGACAUAGACCUUCAUUUACUCAGAUUUCCUUUUAGCUCUUUCAAUAGCGUUUCAUGAUUUCUCCAUGGGAGUCUUGUGCAAUUUUUAAAGUUUGUUUCUAGGCGUUUGUAACAGUUAGGGUUCAACCAGAGAAGCAGAACCAGCAGAAGAAGUUAUCUAUUAAUAGACUUACAGCAAGGAAUUGGAUUAUGUGAUUGUGGAGUCUGGCAAGGCAAAUCCAAUAACUACAGGGCAGGAAGGGCAGGCUGGAACUCUCAGGCAGAAGCUGAAGCUGCUGUCCACUGGCAGAAUUUCUUCUUCAAGGUAGCUUUAGUUUUAUUCUUAAGACUUCUCAAUUGGCUCGGUAAGGACUGCAGUGAGAACUUUUCAGAGCUAUCCAUUCUCACGUGUGCAGGCCUCCAGCCGGCAGCUGCUCUUUCCUGUUGGAUGAGCGCUGAGCCCUUUGUGGGGAAAACAUGUCAAUGAGAAACAGAAAUUUUACGUGGAAUCUAGUGACUCUAGAAGUUUUCAGAUCUGUGAAAAAUCUAAUAUGACUUUUUCCUUUCUUUCUCUCCUCAGUUUAAACCAUUCUCUUCAUUCUCAGUUUGCAGGAGAAAUCUUAACCACAGGUUGUUCCUGACUUUUCUGUCCCUAACUCACCAGAAUCCUGGGGAUCCUUGGGGAUGUUUUCUGUAGCACCUUCUCCCUCCAUACUCUGACAAUGCUCUCCUGAAUAGGACUCCUCACACACAGAAACAAAAGCUGUGAGGUGGGGCUAAUUUUUUAUAGGUCCCACUAAGUCAUCCCAGAGCCAGCCAGGGGCUGCUAUGCAGCCGGCUGACUUGGUAUGAUGACUUGCUGUCCAGGUACUGUCAGAUCCUCAAGGCCAUUUACUGCAGACAACACCUGCAGAGAUGGGUCCCUCCCUGUGUGUCUCCCCUAAAUGGCAGAACUCCCCAAGGCUUAUCCUGGCCAAUGAGAAUACACCAUAGGGAAAUAGAUUCCAUUUAACCAGUCAGUGGCUCUUCUAUAACCAGCCCAUCAGUCAGUGGUAGAAGAGGCAAGGAGAGAAAGGAAGGUGUCAUUUAAUCAGAACACAUUUCUAGAGGGAUAGUAACAAGCAGGGGGAAUUAUAUAUUGUCAAAGUGAGAUUUUCAAAAUGAAAUUGUCAAAGCCUUUGUAUUAGAGGUCUGCAAAACUCUACAGAAACCUUUAAAACUACCUUAUAUAUACUGCAAAGUGCCACUUCACUCACUGAUAGUGAUACAAAGGACUUGUCAGGGACGCACAGUAGUCCCCAUUUAUCAUCACAAGAAAUCUCUAUGGAUUAUGAUGGCUUAAGAUCUCACUCAGUCCAUAUAAAUUAUCCAAAAUAAUCUUCAUUAAAUUCAACAUAUUGUGGACCUAAAUCACAUCCUCAAAAUAUUUCACAGUAACACCUAGAUUAGUGUGUGCACAACUGGAGACCAUAGCCUAGCUGAGUUGCCACAUAUAACUGACCAUCAGAUAUGUUAUAGGACUUUUCCCCUACCUAUUGCGAAUGAGGUCUUUUUUUCCAUUGAAUCUUCUAAAUGAUUAUUAUUAGUAAACAAGAAAGCUAUAAAUUUUUGUAUAUUGAAAUUUGUGUUUCACAACUUUAUUCACAUACCUUGAUAAUUCUCAUGGUCUGUAGAUUCUUCUAGAUUUCUGUAGAGGCAAUAUCAUCUGUAAUUUUUUUUUCCUCUUUCUUCCCAAUUCUUAUUCUUUGUACUUGUUUUCUUGACUUCUGCAUCAGCUAGAAUUUCUUUGCAAUGUUGAAUACAGGCAGUGAUAAUGGGUAUCCUUGUCUUAUCUAUGACAUUAAUGGGACUAGUUCUAAAACUAAGUACAGGUUGAACAUCCCUCAACUGAAAAUCUGAAGUCCAAAAUGUUCCAAAACCCAAAGCUUUCUGAGCACCAACAUGACGCCACAAGAGGAACAUUCUACACCUGACCUCAUGUGAUGGGUUGCAGCCAAAUGCAGGUGCACUGAAAAUAUGACAUGAAAUUACCUUCAGGCUAUGUGUAGAGGAAGCAUAAAAUAAACAUUUUGUGUUUAGACUUAGAUCCCUUCCCCAAGAUGCCUCAUUACGUACAUUAAAAUAUUCCAAAAUCUGGGGGAAAAAAUCUGAAAUCUGAGGCAGUUCUAAUUCCAAGUAUUUCAGAUAAAGGACACUCAACCUGUAGAAUAUUUACAAUGGGAUUUUGAUAGGUACUGGUACCAGUCAGAUUCCCAAAAGGAAACAAAUGUCACAAUCAAAUUACAAUAAUCCAGGAAUAUUUUUCCUUAUAACUAUCUACGUAUAGAGAUUUGGUCAAGAAAACCACAAAAGAUAUUGCAAUAGCCACAAGUGGCCUCUGAGGGUAACCACAGACUGAGAAAGGGAGAGAUUUCUGGAGCCUGGAAAGAGAAAUUGGGGAAGAGGGAGCUGCUUUGAGAGUAACAGGGACCUUCCUUUGAGAGACAGAGUCACCCCAGUAUAGCUUUGCAGGAAGGGAUAUAGAGGAACAAGCACCUUGCUUUCUUGUCUUCCCCACUCUAGUCUCCUGCCACGUCCCCCAGUGGCUGUACUGGAUGUGAAGUCAUAAGCAGGGAAACUGCUCAGCCCUUACAGACAGAGACCAGAGCAGAGAAGCGUGGCAAGUGGAUCCAGAAAAACAAAUGAAAGAGAACUGGCACAAUGCCAUUUAUUUUAAUUAUCAUCUUCCCCUUUAUUCGUCAGUGCUAAAAGUUUUCCUCAGGGCUGUGUUAAAUUUGUUUAUUUUUCCCUGUAUAUUAAAAUAAUUAUAUGGGUUUCCUUAUUAACCAGCGAAUAGAUUAUAAAUUUUAUGAUGUUGAACUAGACUUGCAUUCCUGGCCUAAGUCCUACUUGACUUAUGAGAUACAUAUAUAAAUAUACCACUGAAUUGGGUUUUCUACAGCUGUGUGUAUGUAUUUUAAUAAGUGACAUAUUUGUAUGUUUUUUCCAGUUUUGCUGUCGAGAUUAAAUUAGUCUUGUGAAAGGAGUCAAUUACCUUUCCCUCUUUUCUACUCUCUGAUUCAUUUGUUAUAACACAGGUGUUAUCUGUUCCUCUAAUGUUUGGUAAAAUGGGCCUUUAAAACAAUUUCUAGCCACUGGGGCUUUUAAGGGGAGUAAGAAAUUUUUUACUAAGAAUUUCUUUGAUGGUUCUUAGUUGAUUUGGGUAUCUUAUUUUUCUUGCUAAUCCAUAUGUUUACAAGAAAUUUUCCAUUUACCUAAACUUUUAAAUUUGCUGUAGCUCAGUGGCAGAGUGCUUGCCUAGAAUGUGUGAGGCACUGGGUUCAAUCUUUAGCACUGCAUAAAAAUAAACAAAUAAAAUAAAGCCAUUCUGUCCAUCUACACCAACAAAAAAGUUUAAAAUUACAAAAAGUCUUAUAUUCUUUAUAUUUGACUUUGAUAAUACUUAUAAAACAAAUCUUUCAGCUUCCCUUUAGAUUCUGCUAUUUCAUUUAUUUUUCUCAGUACUGGGAAUAUUACCCAGGACCUCACACGUGCUAAGCAUAUACUCUACCACUAAGCUACUCCCCCAUCCCUGUAAUUCUUUUAUAAGGUAGGCUGAUGGAAAAUAAUUCAGCCCCUAAUUUCAAUCUGUGGGUCUGAUUCUGAUUUCCCAUUUAAAUCGACCAUUUUUAGAUCCUCUUUAACCAAUAGAAAUAAUAGCCAUCAAGGCCACUAAGUGCCUUAUAAAUCAAGCUUCCCCUAAAUGUUUGUAUUCCUGUUCUUUUGUCUGAUCUAAGGAGAUAUUUGUCUUAAUUAAAGCCAGGCCAUAUCUUUUUUUAUUUUGCAUUUUAUUUUUUCAUUGUUAGCUGUGUGGAGCAAACGUUGUUGAACUAGGAGCUCAAUGCAAUGCCUUAAUCAGAAAUUCCUUUUUGGCCUUAUGAUUUCUCACUUCAAAGGUGUCCUGGAUACCUUUCUCUGCUUCCCAGAACCUUAAAAAACACAUUCUUAAGUUAUGGUGCCAGAUAGAUUUUACAUUUUCAUUAAGUUGCUCUAGUCCAUGUUCCUCUUCUUGUUGGAAAAGGUUAGUGUUUAUCACCAGGUUCAGUGAUUUGGGGCCUAUGGUUGAUUUAAUCUUGAUUCUUGAAUCUCCUAGCAGACAUUUCAACUAUGGUGGCCAUUUGUUUUGUUUGAGAAGCCAAUAAUUCAGAAGCCUUUAGACAAAUAAUACAUAUCUUGAUAUUAUAAAAUGAUUUUUAAGAAUUGUCAUUUUACCCAUUUUCUAGUAAUUCCUUCCAUUAGGUUCUCUUUGAAGAUGAUGAAUUGAAGCAUCUCACUUCACAGGCAGGGAAAAGGAACAUGCAUACGAGGACCCAGAAUUCUAAGGCAAUGUUGUUUGACUAUUUAGAUGAAACCAAUUUUCCAAGCAAUAUUUUCUGUAGCAUUUAGGAGGCCAAGAGCAAAUGACUUCAAGGUGGGAUCCCAUUUGCAAUGUCAGUUGCCGCCAUCUAGUGGCUUUCCGCAGGAAUCGUGUGGUUCUUUGGGUUUUUUCCAAAGGCCAGGAAAAAAAGUAAUUGCCUGGAAGAAUUCCUGAGCUUACCUACCACUUAGCCCUUAUCAGAACUAAGAAUUUGCCAGGCGCAGUAUCUCACCUCUGUAAUCCCAGCGGCUCAGGAGGCUGAGAAAGGAGGAACACAAGUUCAAGACCAGUCCCAGCAACUUAGGGUGGCCCCUAAGCAACUUAGUGAAACCACUUCUCAAAAUAAAUAAUGAAAGGGUUGGGGAUGUUGCUCAGCUUAACACCCCUCUGGGUUCAAUCCCUGGCACAAAAAGAAAGAAAGAGAAGGAGGGAGGGAAGGAGGAAGGAGAAAGGAGGAAGGAAGGCGAAUUUAAGUUGAAAGACCAAGAAUAGAAGGAUCUGUUAUUACCCAUAUCCUUAUAAAAGCAAAAACCUGGCCCUAAGAAUUUGUGGAUAGAUGAUUUAAAAUGAAUAAAAUAGCCUGACUUCUUCAGACUCAAGUUUUCAGUAAGACUUUGCAAACAAAUCCUUUACAGCAUAUUUUGAUGUAGUUUCUUUACUUACUUGAGGCAAUGAGGAGGCAAAUGGACCCAGUCUGGAAAGAAAUCAUCAGAGUUCCUGGGAGAGGAUAUAUAUAUAUAUAUAUAUAUAUAUAUAUAUAUAUAUAUCCUUCUAUUGGGUUCUCUUUGGAGAUGAUGAAUUGAGUCAUCUCACUUCACAGGCAGGACAUACUCAGAUCUACUGAAUCUCAAUCUCCAGUGAGUUGCCCAGGAAUUUCUUUUUUAGUUCCAGGAGAUUCUGAUGAUAAAUCAUUUGGGGAACAAGUAGGAAAGAACCUGGUGUUUGGAACUGGACACACCUGAGCUUGAAUCCUGGCAGUGCCACUUUCUUUUCUAUGCAAACUUGGACAAGUCAUUAACCUCUCUGAAAUGGGGAUCCUCAUAAUUAUGCAGAGGAUGCACCUAAGGAUUGAGUGAGGUGACAAAUUUCUACCUAGGUGUAGCGUGCAGUGGCUGCAAAAUCCUACAGGCUUCAUUGGAGAGACCCAAAUCCUGAACCUUGUCCUAGUGUGGAGUAUGGCACAAAAAAUUUUAUGUUCUUCUGACCUCCAAGAGUUCCCUCCUAUUGUUGCUGAUCCAUCCUCCCACAGGUGUCUUGAGGGUCCCCUCUGUCUUGGUUUCCCUUUCCCUAUCUUGUCUUCCCUUCUUUCAGCAUUCUGACUCAAUCCUUUGCUGCAUCCGGUGCUAGCAAGAUUCAUUUGCUUGACAUUUUCAUGUCCCACAAAGUUGAGAGCUAGGGAAACGAACUUCUUUUACUACUAUUGAUUAUUUUUCAUUACAUUUUUGCUAAAUUAUGUUUAAAAGACCACUUCCUUAUUGGAUAUGAAAAUGGAACAGAAAAGUAGUUCCUACCACAAAUGCAAAAUGCCUGAAACAUAAAGAGGAGCUCCUUGCCCUUAAGUCCCUUCCCUGUCUCCAUAUCCUUUGACUUUUUUUUUUUUUUAUUCCUUGCUAGGUCAAAUUUGAACUGCUCCAGCAGAAAGGCUGCUGUCCCAAAAACAGGUCAAGUUUAGGACCAGAAGCCAGGAAAUAAGUCCACAGAAAAGUGGAUACUCGGCAUCUAUUUUCAUGGUUCUGUUGUCUCUUUUUACCCUAGUCACCUGUCACAACUCUCUCACCUCUCUCAGGUGCAGCCAUUAAUUAAGAAGAUACUGGACUGUGGGUGAUGGGGGAUAAAGAAAAGACAAACAGACACACAUAGGGAGAAUAAGCUGGGGCCAGGUGGGUUACUAAGCUCUGGUGAGGCUUGGUUGACUCCAGAACUAGCUCAGCAAGUUUGUUGUUCAGAUUUCACCAUCAAAAGGUUAUUUGUGGGAAAGUUUCAGUGAAGCAGGCAAUCUUAAGGACACAGGACUGGAGAGACAUUAGGGUCAUCUUGUUUUGCUCAGAAUUCAUUCUCCCUGGGAGAAGGUAUUGAACUCAAGGCCUCAACUGAUGAUGCCAUAUGCCUUUGCCCAUAGACACCCUUGGCCAGCGUUACCAUAGCAACUGGGGCAUCUUGACCUGUACCUUCGAACAAGCAGCUCCCAGUGAAAACACAGCCAUGAGAGUCAGAUGGGCCAUGAUUUAGACCACUGCUCUCCACAGUCACCUUAAAAGCCACGCUGGCUUCCAAGGUCAACUUUUUGACAAUGCAACAAGUCACACCAAAAUGAAACAAUUUUUAAAUAAAUGAUCAUUUGUCUUUGGUGUUGGUUAAUGUGGGAGUGGUGCUCACACUGUGGCCUGCAGCUUGAUGUUCUCAGGGUUUUCCUCCUACUACUUGAAUCAUCACUUCUCAGUCUCCUUGGCCAGCUCAUCCCCAUCCACCAGUUUCUCAGUUUUGGAGCUCAAAUCUGCUGUCCUUGGCACUGCUCUUCUCAGUCUUCACCUUGCCUUUGACCUUGGUUUCAGUCAUGCUCUCCCCAGGGAUGAUUUCCAAGUGUACAGCCAACACAGACCUCUCCUCUGAGCUCCUUGCCUAACUAAUUACUACUCAAAACCUAAACUCAUAUUUCUCAAAGAUGUCUCCAACUCAACCUUCUGCAAACCAAAUUUUUAUCUUUCUUCUAAAUCCCACCCAAAAGAGGUCUUCCUCUAGGGGCCCCAACUCAGUAAAUAACACUAUCCAUCCUUUGUUCUGGGUGUCAUUGGGAGCCUUGGCUCUUCUUCUCUAGUUAGGUCUAUAUAUUCAUAGAGCCAUCAAUGUUCCUCUGUCAUCUUCAGUCCAUCCUCUUUGAAACCUCAGUUCAUCAUUCUUUGUCCUCCCCACUUCUCUCCCCACUUCAUAGUUACUCUUCUCUAAUCUCAUUUCCACACUGCACCCAGAAUUAUCAUAUUUUUUUUAAAGCAAAGGUAAUCAUGUCACUACUGUGCUUCAUACUGCCAGUGGCUUCCCAUUUCCCUUAAGAUGGACCAGCAUUAGAAUGGCCUGCUGGCCCUGCCUGAGCUCUCCAGCCCCAUUUUGAGCUUCUCUUUCCCUCACUUGGAGCUGCAGUCAACUGAGCUCUUUCAGUUCCUUAAACAGAUCAUGUUCUCACCCUGCCUUGGGGCCAGAGCACAGGCUGUUAACUCUGCCCAGAACACCUUAGUUCCCUAAAAACUCCCAAUCUUCCAAAUUCUGCUAGAAAAUUACCUCCUCAAGAAACUAUCUUGGACUGCCUUGUUAGCCUUUCCCCCCAGCUGGCCUUCUAAGGUUUUUAUAGCAAAGCACAACGAGCUGUGCGACUACAACAACAUAAACGUAUUAUAACUCAGUGUUGGGGGAAAGGAGUCUGAAAUCAAGAUAUCUAUAUGGUUGGUUCCUUCUGAAGGCUGUAAGGGAGAAUUUGUUCCAUGCCUCUUCCGUAGCUUCUGAUCAUUUGCUAGUGAUCUUUGACAUUCCUUGGCUUGUGGAAACAAGACAUUCCUGGUCUUUGCCAUUAUCUUCACAUGGUGUCCUAUUUAUAAAUGUGUCUGGGUCCACAUUUCUCCAUUUUAUAAGAAAACCAACAUAUUAGGUUAGAGGCCCAUCCUAUGGUAGUUUAUUCUAUCUCAACUAAUUGCCUCUGCAUUGACCCUAUUUCCCAAUAAGAUCAGAUUCUGAGGUAUGAAGGGUUGGGAUUUAAACAUGUAAAUGGUAGAGGGCACAAUUCAACCCAUAACAUGCCCCGUUCACUUUCAAGGUUGGGUCCUCCAGUUAUAUGUUGUCAAAUACUUUUUUAUUCAAAGCACUGGUCACAAUUUUUAAUUAUCAGUCAAAUAAUUACGUAAGCAAAAGUCAACCUAUUGCCCAUAGAUUAUAAGCUCCACUAAGGACAUGUCCACUUUCAUUGGCUAUUGCAUCCCCAUGCCUGACAUGCAGCAGUCAUUCAGCAAAUGCUCACUGGGUGAAAAAUUAACUCUCCAGGCCCCUCAUUGCACAUCACAUUGUGAAGAGACCAGCUUCAUCUCCCAAGUCUGCUCAGUCCCUUCUCAGUGUCUUGCUAUUCAGCUUGUGGAACACAAGGACAUCUGAGAUUUUUAAAAGGCUAUAGGCAGACCCAAGGACAUGAGUUACCACCCAGUCUUAGUGACCCCUCAAAACUCAAAUAUGAUGUCCUCCAUGAAGCCUAGACUCUGUAGAAAAAGACAUCACUAAGGUUUGUUAACACAUUGCAUUUCACUUUAAAUGUUUCUCCUAAUUACCUGUGAUUGUCACUGCAGGAGUCUGAGUGAGCUUCUCUGGAGAUCUUAAAAACAGGACCCUUCCCUAAGGAGUCGAAUAGGUCAGCUGGGUGGUCAAGAGAUUAGUAAAAUAAAGUAACCUCCAGGUACCUCUUUGACAUCUAAUAUUCUAAGAACUUGCUAUUUGAUACUUUGAACAUGCAGUGCAGACAGAAAACAAUUUAGUCUCUUAACUCUCUGACCAAUAUUUCAAUUGGUAAGUCACCAGCAACAGUGCAAUAGAAAUAAAGAACCCAGAUAGGUCAAAAAGCCUUUGGCACAGAUAACGACUGUAAUGCCAUUGAGAUCGCCUUCCCUAUGCAGGAAUAAGUGCUACUGCAAAGUGUUCAGAUAGUUUAAUGACUGGCUUUUGUGUUUCAUCAUCUCAUGGCAUGAGGAAUGCUGAAUACUCUAAUGUUGGACUUCUAGAAGCUUGAACCCAUUGACCUGCCACAAGUAAUUACCUCCGAAAGACUCCUGAACCAGCAACAAACCUGGACAAGGCACAAAGCAAAGGUGAGCUAUGGGAGUCACCUGAGGGGGUGGUUAGCAGGGGACAGGCUGCAUGGGAACAGGGCAAGCGGUCUUUCUCAUGUCCUGUCUGCACUAAAGAGUUCAAAGCCAGAUCAAACAGAUAAAUCCUUUGCAGUGAGAACCUUUCAGAGCUAGCCAUUCUCACGUGUGCAAGCUGCUCUUUCCUGUUGGAUGAGAAUACACCAUAGGGAAAUAGAUUCCAUUUAACCAGUCAGUGGCUGUUCUACAACCAGCCAAUCAGUCAGUGGUAGAAGAGGCAAGGAGAGAAAGGAAGGUGUCAUUUAAUCAGAACACAUUUCUAGAGGGAUAGUAAUAAGCAGGGAAAAUUAUGUAUUGUCAAAGUGAGAUUUUCAAAAUGAAAUUAUCAAAGUUUUUGCAUUCGAGGUCUGCAAAACUCUACAGGAACCUUUAAAACUACCUUAUAUAUACUGCAAAGUGCCACUUCACUCACUGAUAGUGAUACAAAGGACUUGUCAAGGAUGCACAGUAGUCCACAUUUAUCAUCACAAGAAAUCUCUAUGGAUUAUAAUGGCUUAAGAUCUCACUCUGUUCCAAGAAGAAUUUAAGGUUGUAGAUUGCAGUCAGUAACAAAUUACCCUGCACUAAUGACUGUGUCAUCUUUCAUAGCAAAAACUGGAAAAGAAAAUGCAAACUCCAACAUAUACUUCUGGGAAAAGACAAUAUUUGCAUAAAAUGCAAAUGCUGGAAAUGAACCAUAGAAGACAAGAGGUAAAUAUAAGAAGAAUGUCAUAUUUACCAAAUGUAUACCACAUA